UAUAAGCCAGCAGAGCUCCGAGGCUGCUCACUCCGAACCCCUCUCCAGCUCUCCUCCGGCCUCCAGAAGCCUCAGCAUGUCGUUCACCAGCAGAUCCUACUCCUCCCAGAGACCAACAGCGUCUACGGGCGGCGCCGGCGGGCAUGGGGACCCGCAUCUCCUCCCCCCACCAAUGGUUGGCCUGCUUCGGCCCCCAGCCCCCUCCUACCGUGGGCAAGACCUCCUACUCUAAAGGGAGCUUCAACCUCGCCGACGGCCUGGACCUCACGUGGGGGCCAACGAGAAGGCCACCUUGCAGAACCUCAACGACCGCCUGCUCCACCUACCUGGACCAGGUGCGCACCCUGGAGAAGGAGAACGGCCGCCUGGAGCAGCAGAUCAGGGAAUGGACCCUGAGCCGCACCGUGGUGACCCACGACCACAGCGGCUCCCUGGCCACCGUCGCAGACCUCAAGGACAAGAUCCGCUUCGCCUACAGGGUCAACGCCAAGAUCAUCCUGGACAUCGACAACGCCAAACUGGCAGCGGACGACUUCAAGAUGAAGUUUGAGGGGGAGCAGGCCAUGAGGCUGGUGGUGGAGGCCGACACCAUGGGUCUGAAGAGGGUUCUGGACGAGAUGAACAUGAACCGCAUGGACCUGGAGUCCAUGUACGAGUCCCUGAAGGAGGAGCUCAUCAUGCUGAAGAGGAAACCACCAGGAGGACUUGGAGUCCAUCAGGUGCAGAGUGGGUGGCCAGGUGGAUGUGGAGGUGGACACCCCCCCCGCCACAGACCUGAACCAGGCCAUGACGGAGGUCAGGGAGCACUACGAGACCAUGAUCACCAAGAACCGCAAGGAGCUGGAGAGCUGGUACCAGUCCAAGAUCUCUGUGAUCGAGGUGGAGGUGCAGCAGGAGUCGGAGCUGCUGCUGAAGGCCCGCAUGGAGCUGAAGGAGCUGAAGACAACGUGCCAGAGGCUGCAGAUCGACCUGCAGUCUCACCUCAGCAUGAAAUCGUCGCUGGGAGGGCUCGCUGGCGGAGACCCAGAAGCCGCUACCAGAGCACUCUGUACGGGCUGCAGUGCACCGUGACCAGCCUGGAGGAGCAGCUGUCCCAGCUCCACGCCAACAUCGCCCACCACAAGCAGGAGUACGACAUGCUGCUGGACCUCAAGACCCGCCUGGAGUAUGGAGAUCGCAGAGUACCGCCGGCUGCUUGACGGGGAGGACGAGAGUUCCAGGCAAGUGGUCACCAAGACCAUCACGGUGGUGGAGACGGUGGUGGAUGGCCGGGUGGUCAGCAGCGAGCGCACCACCGACGUGGACGUGGAGGAACAGUGAUGAUGUAACACCUGAUGUCACACCUCGAAUAAUAAAACCUUCAAUUAAACCUGACAGUCCAAAUCCUA